UACGUAGGUGACAAGCGUUGUCCGGAUUUACUGGGCGUAAAGAGCGCGCAGGCGGUCGUUUCAAGUCGAGUGUGAAAGCCCCCGGCUCAACUGGGGAGGGUCAUUCGAUACUGAUCGACUCGAAGGCAGGAGAGGGUAGUGGAAUUCCCGGUGUAGUGGUGAAAUGCGUAGAUAUCUGGAGGAACACCGGUGGCGAAGGCGGCAUCCUGGACCGGUAUUGACGCUGAGGCGCGAAAGCUAGGGGAGCAAACGGG
rnacentral:rRNA from 1 species